rnacentral:rRNA from 2 species
UACGUAGGGUGCGAGCGUUAAUCGGAAUUACUGGGCGUAAAGCGUGCGCAGGCGGUUUUGUAAGCCAGAUGUGAAAUCCCCGGGCUCAACCUGGGAAUGGCAUUUGGGACUGCAAGGCUCGAGUGCGGCAGAGGAGACUGGAAUUCCUGGUGUAGCAGUGAAAUGCGUAGAUAUCAGGAGGAAUACCGAUGGCGAAGGCAGGUCUCUGGGCUGACACUGACGCUCAUGCACGAAAGCGUGGGGAGCAAACAGG